CACGUAGGGUGCGAGCGUUGUCCGGAAUUAUUGGGCGUAAAGAGCUCGUAGGCGGUGUGUCGCGUCGGCCGUGAAAACCUGCAGCUUAACUGUGGGCUUGCGGUCGAUACGGGCAUCACUGGAGUUCGGCAGGGGAGACUGGAAUUCCUGGUGUAGCGGUGAAAUGCGCAGAUAUCAGGAGGAACACCGACGGCGAAGGCAGCUCGCUGGGACGGUACUGACGCUGAGGCGCGAAAGCGUGGGGAGCGAACAGG
rnacentral:rRNA from 1 species